GGACCAGCAGCUGGCCUAGAGGCUACUGGGGAGGAGGGAGCAGGGAGCACCCACUGCUGAUCCAGAUUCACUCCUUCCCUCGCCUCUGUCAUGACCCCAAAGAAGCAGAUCCUGAACCUGGGCUCUUGUCUUCACCUUUGUUCUCUUCCACUCUGGGGUAAUUAAGAAUGAUUUGCUGGCCAGGCGCGGUGGCUCAUGCCUGUAAUCCCAGCACUUUGGGAGGCUGAGGCAGGUGGAUCACAAGGUCAGGAGAUCAAAACCAUCCUGGCUAACACGGUGAAACCCUGUCUCUACUAAAAAUACAAAAAAAUUAGCCGGUCGUGGUGACGCGCAUCUGUAGUCUCAGCUACUCGGGAGGCUGAGGCAGGAGGAUGGCGUGAACCUGGGAGGCGGAGUUUGCAGUGAGUGGAGAUUGCGCCACUGCACUCCAGCCUGGGCGACAGAGUGAGACUCCGUCUCAAAAAAGAAAAAAAGAAUGAUUUGCUAAUUAUGCAGGCAGCUGAUCCAGUGCUGUGUAACCUUGGGGGCCACCAGAUGCCAAUCAGUAGAAUGGGAGAGAAGGAAGGAUGGAGGAAGUGAGGACAAGGGGCAAGGAGGAAGGUCUGUCCACCUGUCUCUUUUGUGCAGGAGGUGUCCAAGCAGGAGGAGCACGUCACAUCCCCACUGAAAAAGCCCACAGAAAAUGAAAAGCCCACAUGCUUGUCCAUUGCUGCAGGAUGGGGGCAAGUGGAGAGGGAGAGGUGUCAAUGCUCCCACCUUACUCCCAGUCAUGGCUGACUCCUCCCUUUCCUUCGUUCUUGUUCCUAAUCUGUCACCAUGUCCUGUCGUUUUCUUUGUCUCACCCAACCCUCUGUGCCUGCAAAUCCCCUGACUGCAGCCUCAUCCCUGUCACCUCCUGACUGUAGUUGGUGACAGAAGAGGAGGCUGCACCAGUGAAGGAGCAGGGACUCCAGGUCUGGCAACAACCAGGGAUGGGGCCGGGUGGGGGUGACUUGGACCUGGAGAGGGGCCUGAGUCAGGCAGUCACAUACUUCAUGCUGGGGUCCCCCAAGUGAGGCACAGCCCGGGGUCCCGGGAAGAAGACCAAGCCUCAUUUCAGGUUGCUUGUGGCCAAAGACAGGACCUGUGUACCCAACAACCCCUGGGACUUUUGCAGGAAACAGCAAACGCCAUUCGCUCACUCGAGUUAGAUAAACACUGAGUGAAAAGUCACUGGAGCCCAAGGACUGCGGGGUCAGCACUGCCGAUACAAGAACCGCAGCCCUCCAGCUCGGCUCCCUCAACGGCCUGCGCUGCAGCCACACUGGCCUCCUUUCAGGUCCUCCACCUCAGGGCUGUAGCUCAUGUGCUUACUUCUUUCUGGAAUGUUCUCCCUGACCUACCCACUCACCCUCAGGUUUUACCACAAAUGCUAUUUCCUCACAUCCGUCUUCCCUGACCCCUGAGACCAAGCCAGGCCCCCCAUGAUGAGCCUCGCAGCACCUCAUCUCCCCUCCGCAGAGGCGGUGAUAACCCACAGAACCCAGGGCCACGAUCCCUGGCUUUGAACCCUGGCUUUGGCACUCGGCCAGAUCUCUGUCUUUCUGUGCCUCAGUUUCCUCAUCUAUAAAAUGGAUAACAGCAGCGCCUGCUCAUAAAAUGUGGCAAGGAUUAAAUGAGUUAACACACUCAGAUCAAUGGUGGAGCAAGCUCCAUGAUACAUGAAGAUUAGUGAUUACAAAAUACUAUAAAUAGGCCUUAUCACAACUGUAAUUAAAUAACUGAUCAUUAAUUGGUUAUUUAGGUCUGUCUCUCCUGCCAGAGUGUAUACACCAGUUGGACAAGGACGCUGCCUUAUUCAUCACUGGAUCUAUAGUGAUUUGCUCAGUGCCUUGCACACAGGCACUGUUGGUUCAGCUCUCCACCUUGGAAACACAAGAAAGGAUCCCUGGCUGAAGAGGGAAACAGAGGCUGGAAACAGGUACAUGGGCAGGGUGGUGGUGGUGAGAGAAUUGCCCGAAUCAACUGCCAAAUGGUGCCCAGGUUGGAAAAGCAAAUGUGCACACGUGGGUUCUUCCCACUCUAACCCUGAGGAAUUCGAGGCCUGCGUCCUAGACAGACUGGGCAGUGGCUAGUGACUCUAGGUAUAGGAGUGUCCAGGCCCUGCUCACCCAGGCUAGAGCUUAGGGAGCCAGAAGGAAGGAGGUGCAUGUUGGGGUGCAGGACAGGAGGGAAAAAUACUCGAAUUGCAAGGUGAGGGCACAGUCUGUUUAUAUUGGGUUGAAUUAACUCUUCUCCCGAUGCCACUAAAGCAGGAAUCACACUGCAGAUGGCAC
rnacentral:lncRNA from 10 species